GACGAACGCUGGCGGCGUGCUUAACACAUGCAAGUCGAACGGAAAGGCCCUGCUUUUGUGGGGUGCUCGAGUGGCGAACGGGUGAGUAACACGUGAGUAACCUGCCCUUGACUUUGGGAUAACUUCAGGAAACUGGGGCUAAUACCGGAUAGGAGCUCCUGCUGCAUGGUGGGGGUUGGAAAGUUUCGGCGGUUGGGGAUGGACUCGCGGCUUAUCAGCUUGUUGGUGGGGUAGUGGCUUACCAAGGCUUUGACGGGUAGCCGGCCUGGGAGGGUGACCGGGCACAAUGGGACUGAGAGACGGCGCAGUGUGCUACGGGAGGCAGUAGUGGGGAAUAUUGCACAGUGGGCGGAAGCCUGAUGCAGCAACGCCGCGUGCGGGAUGACGGCCUUCGGGUUGUAAACCGCUUCCGCCUGUGACGAAGCGUGAGUGACGGUAAUGGGUAAAGAAGCACCGGCUAACUACGUG
rnacentral:rRNA from 1 species